GAAGCAAAUUAAAACGAAGAAGUAUUUAAAGAAUGCAAAUUUAAAUUUUACAAUAAAUGUUGUAAAAGUUUGUAUGGAAAUAAUGUGUGUUUAGACAUGCCAGUGUAUUUUAUUUUACAUAAAUAGUAAAGCUAGUAAGCAGUAUGUUUAAAGACAGGUUUUUUUUUCAUACAUAACAUGAAUUUUUUUUUUACUGAGAACUGUUUAGUGAGUCUAUCAUUUCUACUCUAGAAUUACAUUUACAGAUUUUUAAUAUUUUUUCUUUGUACUUUUAACUUAUUCAUGUUUUGUAUGUAUGACGCUGGAAUACAAAUUUGUUUAGGAUACAAGUAGUGUUCAUUUUAACAGCUGACAUUGAAUAAGUCAAAGUACUGAGUACUGACGGGAGUUGAUUUUAUUGAUAAUUAUUCAAAACAACCAAAGUAAUUUCGCAUGGCAAGUAGUUUCUUUGUGUUUGAAUUUUCACAUACAUUUUUAGCUCACGAAACAAAGUCAGGGGGAACUUAUGCUAUACCUUGGCGUCCUGACCUGGUUAAAGUUUUUGGUGCAGGAUAUGUAUCUAAGUAAUUACUUGUCCUAUCUUCACCAAACUUGCAUGGAUGAUGCAUCUGGACCUACUUAUGGACUAGAAAGACUUGGAUGCUGAAUCUGGGCCAUGAAUUUCAGAUGCUGGAGGAGGUUAAGGUUUUUGGAAUAGGUUAAAAUGUUUAGAGCAGGUGCCCUUUGAUGGCUAUAUCUAAGCUACUGCUGGUAUUUCUUAACCAUGCUUGCAUAGAUGGUGUGUCUCAUUAUACUAUGCACUUGACAGACUUGAUUGCUGAAUCUGAGCCAUAAGUUUUGGAUGCUGGAUGAGGUUAAGGUUUUUGGAGCUGGUUAAAGUUUUUGGAGCAGGUGCCCUUUGAUGACCAUAUCUUAAUUAGUUACUACAGGUCCAAAUCUGGCCAUACUUGCUUGGAUGGCAUGUGUUUUGAUACUGAUGCACUUGACAGGCUUGAAUGCUGAAUAUGACCCAUAGUUUUUGAUGCUGGAUGAGGUUAAGGUUUUGGAGCUGUCACAUGUUUAUGUAAAUGAUUACUUAUUCAAACUUCCAUGGUUGAUUUUACUAUGUAAAUGAAUUACGGAGGAAGCUUCAAAUACAGAAAGUGAUCUUGAUUUUCUAGAUACUUAGCCUUAGGCAGGUUUAACAUUUUAUAACAACUAAAGUUGUGUUUAUAGUGUCUUGGAGAUGGUUACAAAAUGAAGUAAAUUCUGUUCAUACUUUAAUAGUCAGACUUGAACAGUAAAUUAACUAUGGGUGUGUAAAUAGAGGUAGCUUCAGAUGCAGAGCUUGAUCUCGAUUAUCUUGAAGCUUGAGGAAGUGCAAGUUUUUCCAAGUCGUUAAAUACAGGUCCGAUUGUUUAAAAAAAAUUGUACUGACUAACUUUCAUGGUUCAUUUAACUUUGGAUAUGAGACAUAAGGCUAGCUUCAGAUACAGGGCCUGAUCUCCUUUAUCAAAGAUGCUAAGGAAACAUUGUCCUAAAUCACUCAAACAUGCUUAAUUGAUAGAUGUGCUUGUUGAUAUUUAUGAUAUAUAUUAUCAUGAUUCCUAUGAUAUGAUAUUUUUAUCAUAUUAUAUGAUAUUGUAGAAUAUAAUAUGUUUUUAUACUUCUGUGAAUAUUUUCUAUGUAAAAUUACAACAAAUAAACAUGAUAUUCUAUCU
rnacentral:sRNA from 1 species